rnacentral:rRNA from 1 species
UACGUAGGGGGCAAGCGUUGUCCGGAUUUAUUGGGCGUAAAGAGCUCGUAGGCGGUUCCGUAAGUUGAGAGUCAAAUCUCUGGGCUCAACCCAGAGUCGCUCUCAAUACUGCGGUGACUCGAGUCCGGUAGAGGAGUGUGGAAUUCCUGGUGUAGCGGUGAAAUGCGCAGAUAUCAGGAGGAACACCAACGGCGAAGGCAGCACUCUGGGCCGGUACUGACGCUGAGGAGCGAAAGCUAGGGGAGCAAACAGG